UACGUAGGGUGCAAGCGUUAAUCGGAAUUACUGGGCGUAAAGCGUGCGCAGGCGGUUUUGUAAGACAGGCGUGAAAUCCCCGAGCUUAACUUGGGAAUGGCGCUUGUGACUGCAAGGCUAGAGUAUGUCAGAGGGGGGGUAGAAUUCCACGUGUAGCAGUGAAAUGCGUAGAGAUGUGGAGGAAUACCGAUGGCGAAGGCAGCCCCCUGGGACGUCACUGACGCUCAUGCACGAAAGCGUGGGGAGCAAACAGG
rnacentral:rRNA from 1 species